AGACCCGAAACCCGGUGAUCUAGCCAUGGGCAGGUUGAAGGUUGGGUAACACUAACUGGAGGACCGAACCGACUAAUGUUGAAAAAUUAGCGGAUGACCUGUGGCUGGGGGUGAAAGGCCAAUCAAACCGGGAGAUAGCUGGUUCUCCCCGAAAGCUAUUUAGGUAGCGCCUCGUGAAUUCAUCUCCGGGGGUAGAGCACUGUUUCGGCUAGGGGGCCAUCCCGGCUUACCAACCCGAUGCAAACUGCGAAUACCGGAGAAUGUUAUCACGGGAGACACACGGCGGGUGCUAACGUCCGUCGUGAAGAGGGAAACAACCCAGACCGCCAGCUAAGGUCCCAAAGUCAUGGUUAAGUGGGAAACGAUGUGGGAAGGCCCAGACAGCCAGGAUGUUGGCUUAGAAGCAGCCAUCAUUUAAAGAAAGCGUAAUAGCUCACUGGUCGAGUCGGCCUGCGCGGAAGAUGUAACGGGGCUAAACCAUGCACCGAAGCUGCGGCAGCGAACGUAUCACUUAAAGCGAUUCAGCGGGUUACGAUUGACGGAGCGAAGCGACGUCAAAGCGUAUACAAAGUCGAGUCGGUUUAAGGAUACGUUCGUUGGGUAGGGGAGCGUUCUGUAAGCCUGUGAAGGUGUGUCGUGAGGCAUGCUGGAGGUAUCAGAAGUGCGAAUGCUGACAUAAGUAACGAUAAAGCGGGUGAAAAGCCCGCUCGCCGGAAGACCAAGGGUUCCUGUCCAACGUUAAUCGGGGCAGGGUGAGUCGACCCCUAAGGCGAGGCCGAAAGGCGUAGUCGAUGGGAAACGGGUUAAUAUUCCCGUACUUGGUGUUACUGCGAAGGGGGGACGGAGAAGGCUAUGUUGGCCGGGCGACGGUUGUCCCGGUUUAAGCGUGUAGGCUGGUUUUCCAGGCAAAUCCGGAAAAUCAAGGCUGAGGCGUGAUGACGAGGCACUACGGUGCUGAAGCAACAAAUGCCCUGCUUCCAGGAAAAGCCUCUAAGCAUCAGGUAACAUCAAAUCGUACCCCAAACCGACACAGGUGGUCAGGUAGAGAAUACCAAGGCGCUUGAGAGAACUCGGGUGAAGGAACUAGGCAAAAUGGUGCCGUAACUUCGGGAGAAGG
rnacentral:rRNA from 1 species